UCCGUAGGUGAACCUGCGGAGGGAUCAUUACACAAAUAUGAAGGCGGGCUGGAACCUCUCGGGGUUACAGCCUUGCUGAAUUAUUCACCCUUGUCUUUUGCGUACUUCUUGUUUCCUUGGUGGGUUCGCCCACCACUAGGACAAACAUAAACCUUUUGUAAUUGCGAUCAGCGUCAGUAACAAAUUAAUAAUUACAACUUUCAACAACGGAUCUCUUGGUUCUGGCAUCGAUGAAGAACGCAGCGAAAUGCGAUAAGUAGUGUGAAUUGCAGAAUUCAGUGAAUCAUCGAAUCUUUGAACGCACAUUGCGCCCUUUGGUAUUCCAAAGGGCAUGCCUGUUCGAGCGUCAUUUGUACCCUCAAGCUUUGCUUGGUGUUGGGCGUCUUGUCUCUAGCUUUGCUGGAGACUCGCCUUAAAGUAAUUGGCAGCCGGCCUACUGGUUUCGGAGCGCAGCACAAGUCGCACUCUCUAUCAGCAAAGGUCUAGCAUCCAUUAAGCCUUUUUUUCAACUUUUGACCUCGGAUCAGGUAGGGAUACCCGCUGAACUUAAGCAUAUCAAUAAGCGGAGGAA
rnacentral:rRNA from 1 species